rnacentral:rRNA from 1 species
GUUUGAUCCUGGCUCAGGAUGAACGCUGGCGGCGUGCCUAACACAUGCAAGUCGAGCGAUUCUCUUCGGAGAAGAGCGGCGGACGGGUGAGUAACGCGUGGGUAACCUGCCCUGUACACACGGAUAACAUACCGAAAGGUAUGCUAAUACGAGAUAAUAUGCUUUUAUCGCAUGGUAGAAGUAUCAAAGCUUUUGCGGUACAGGAUGGACCCGCGUCUGAUUAGCUAGUUGGUAAGGUAACGGCUUACCAAGGCGACGAUCAGUAGCCGACCUGAGAGGGUGAUCGGCCACAUUGGAACUGAGACACGGUCCAAACUCCUACGGGAGGCAGCAGUGGGGAAUAUUGCACAAUGGGCGAAAGCCUGAUGCAGCAACGCCGCGUGAGCGAUGAAGGCCUUCGGGUCGUAAAGCUCUGUCCUCAAGGAAGAUAAUGACGGUACUUGAGGAGGAAGCCCCGGCUAACUACGUGCCAGCAGCCGCGGUAAUACGUAGGGGGCAAGCGUUAUCCGGAUUUACUGGGCGUAAAGGGUGCGUAGGCGGUCUCUUAAGUCAGGAGUGAAAGGCUACGGCUCAACCGUAGUAAGCUCUUGAAACUGGAGAACUUGAGUGCAGGAGAGGAGAGUGGAAUUCCUAGUGUAGCGGUGAAAUGCGUAGAUAUUAGGAGGAACACCAGUUGCGAAGGCGGCUCUCUGGACUGUAACUGACGCUGAGGCACGAAAGCGUGGGGAGCAAACAGGAUUAGAUACCCUGGUAGUCCACGCCGUAAA